UCAAGCGAACAAGUGCAUGUGGUGGAUGCCUUGGCGAUUACAGGCGAUGAAGGACGCGGUAGCCUGCGAAAAGCUUCGGGGAGCUGGCAAACGAGCUUUGAUCCGGAGAUGUCCGAAUGGGGAAACCCGGCCCGAAUGGGUCAUCCCUGACUGAAUACAUAGGUCAGGGAAGCGAACGCGGCGAACUGAAACAUCUAAGUAGCUGCAGGAACAGAAAUCAACCGAGAUUCCCAAAGUAGUGGCGAACGAAAUGGGAAGAGCCUUGUACUCUUUAGCAGCAUUGUUAGCAGAACGGGAUGGAAAGCCCGGCCAUAGCAGGUGAUAGCCCUGUAUGCGAAAACAGCGUUGUGGAACUAGGUGUACGACAAGUAGGGCGGGACACGUGAAAUCCUGUCUGAAGAUGGGGGGACCAUCCUCCAAGGCUAAAUACUCGUAAUCGACCGAUAGUGAACCAGUACCGUGAGGGAAAGGCGAAAAGAACCCCGGGAGGGGAGUGAAAUAGAUCCUGAAACCGCAUGCAUACAAACAGUCGGAGCCUGGAAACGGGUGACGGCGUACCUUUUGUAUAAUGGGUCAGCGACUUACAUUCAGUGGCAAGCUUAACCGAUUAGGGAAGGCGUAGCGAAAGCGAGUCCGAAUAGGGCGUUGAGUCGCUGGGUGUAGACCCGAAACCAGAUGAUCUAUCCAUGGCCAGGUUGAAGGUGCGGUAACACGUACUGGAGGACCGAACCCACUAACGUUGAAAAGUUAGGGGAUGAGCUGUGGAUAGGGGUGAAAGGCUAAACAAAUCUGGAAAUAGCUGGUUCUCUCCGAAAACUAUUUAGGUAGUGCCUCGUGUCUCACCUUCGGGGGUAGAGCACUGUCAUGGUUGGGGGGUCUAUUGCUGAUUACCCCGCCAUAGCAAACUCCGAAUACCGAAGAGUGCAAUCACGGGAGACAGACAUCGGGUGCUAACGUCCGGUGUCAAGAGGGAAACAACCCAGACCGCCAGCUAAGGUCCCAAAGAUUGGCUAAGUGGGAAACGAAGUGGGAAGGCUAAAACAGUCAGGAGGUUGGCUUAGAAGCAGCCACCCUUUAAAGAAAGCGUAAUAGCUCACUGAUCGAGUCGUCCUGCGCGGAAGAUGUAACGGGGCUAAGCCAGUCACCGAAGCUGCGGACGCACGCAAGUGCGUGGUAGGAGAGCGUUCUGUAAGCCUGUGAAGGUGUCUUGUAAAGGAUGCUGGAGGUAUCAGAAGUGCGAAUGCUGACAUGAGUAGCGAUAAAGGGGGUGAAAGGCCCCCUCGCCGUAAGCCCAAGGUUUCCUACGCAACGUUCAUCGGCGUAGGGUGAGUCGGCCCCUAAGGCGAGGCAGAGAUGCGUAGCUGAUGGGAAGCAGGUUAAUAUUCCUGCACCGUCGUAUGAUGCGAUGGGGGGACGGAUCGCGGAAGGUUGUCCGGGUGUUGGAAGUCCCGGUCCCUGCAUUGGAGAAGGCGCUUAGGCAAAUCCGGGCGCGGAAUUCAAGGAUGUGGGGCGAGCGGCCUAGUGCUGCGAAGCAAUUGGAAGUGGUUCCAAGAAAAGCCUCUAAGCUUCAGUCAUACGAGACCGUACCGCAAACCGACACAGGUGGGCGAGAUGAGUAUUCUAAGGCGCUUGAGAGAACUCGGGAGAAGGAACUCGGCAAAUUGGUACCGUAACUUCGGGAUAAGGUACGCCCUUGUAGCUUGACUGGCCUGCGCCAGGAGGGUGAAGGGGUUGCAAUAAAAUGGUGGCUGCGACUGUUUAAUAAAAACACAGCACUCUGCAAACACGAAAGUGGACGUAUAGGGUGUGACGCCUGCCCGGUGCCGGAAGAUUAAAUGAUGGGGUGCAAGCUCUUGAUUGAAGUCCCGGUAAACGGCGGCCGUAACUAUAACGGUCCUAAGGUAGCGAAAUUCCUUGUCGGGUAAGUUCCGACCUGCACGAAUGGCGUAACGAUGGCCACACUGUCUCCUCCCGAGACUCAGCGAAGUUGAAGUGUUUGUGAUGAUGCAAUCUCCCCGCGGCUAGACGGAAAGACCCCAUGAACCUUUACUGUAGCUUUGCAUUGGACUUUGAACCGAUCUGUGUAGGAUAGGUGGGAGGCUUUGAAGCGUGGACGCUAGUUCACGUGGAGCCGUCCUUGAAAUACCACCCUGGUUUGUUUGAGGUUCUAACCUUGGCCCGUGAAUCCGGGUCGGGGACAGUGCAUGGUAGGCAGUUUGACUGGGGCGGUCUCCUCCCAAAGUGUAACGGAGGAGUUCGAAGGUACGCUUGGUACGGUCGGACAUCGUACCUAAAGUGCAAUGGCAAAAGCGUGCUUAACUGCGAGACUGACAAGUCGAGCAGGUGCGAAAGCAGGACAUAGUGAUCCGGUGGUUCUGAAUGGAAGGGCCAUCGCUCAACGGAUAAAAGGUACUCUGGGGAUAACAGGCUGAUACCGCCCAAGAGUUCAUAUCGACGGCGGUGUUUGGCACCUCGAUGUCGGCUCAUCUCAUCCUGGGGCUGUAGCCGGUCCCAAGGGUAUGGCUGUUCGCCAUUUAAAGAGGUACGUGAGCUGGGUUUAAAACGUCGUGAGACAGUUUGGUCCCUAUCUGCCGUGGGCGUUGGAAUCUUGACGGGGGCUGCUCCUAGUACGAGAGGACCGGAGUGGACGUACCGCUGGUGUACCUGUUGUCUCGCCAGAGGCAUCGCAGGGUAGCUAUGUACGGAAGAGAUAACCGCUGAAAGCAUCUAAGCGGGAAACUCGCCUGAAGAUGAGGAUUCCCUGGAGGCUUGACCUCCUUGAAGGGUCGUUCGAGACCAGGACGUUGAUAGGCUGGGUGUGGAAGCGCAGUAAUGCGUUAAGCUAACCAGUACUAAUUGCCCGUAAGGCUUGAUCCU
rnacentral:rRNA from 1 species